AGCACUACAACGGGUGGAGCCUGCGGUUUAAUUGGAUUCAACGCCGGAAAUCUUACCGGGACCGACAGCAAUAUGAAGGCCAGGCUGAAGACUUUGCCGGAUUAGCUGAGAGGUGGUGCAUGGCCGUCGUCAGUUCGUACUGUGAAGCAUCCUGUUAAGUCAGGCAACGAGCGAGACCCACGCCCACAGUUGCCAGCGUACUCUCUGGAGUGACGGGUACACUGUGGGGACCGCCGCUGCUAAAGCGGAGGAAGGAAUGGGCAACGGUAGGUCAGUAUGCCCCGAAUAUCCCGGGCUACACGCGAGCUACAAUGGUUGGUACAAUGGGUAUCUACCCCGAAAGGGGACGGGAAUCUCCUAAAACCAAUCUUAGUUCGGAUUGAGGGCUGCAACUCGCCCUCAUGAAGCUGGAAUCCGUAGUAAUCGCGUUUCAACAGAACGCGGUGAAUACGUCCCUGCUCCUU
rnacentral:rRNA from 1 species